rnacentral:rRNA from 1 species
CCGCACAAGCGGUGGAGCAUGUGGUUAAUUCGACGCAACGCGAAGAACCUUACAGGCUUGACAUCCCCUGACCGCGUAUGAAAGUACGUUUUCACCCUCGGGUGACAGGGAGACAGGUGGUGCAUGGUUGUCGUCAGCUCGUGUCGUGAGAUGUUGGGUUAAGUCCCGCAACGAGCGCAACCCCUACGUUUAGUUGCUAACAGGUGAAGCUGAGCACUCUAGACGAACUGCCGUUGACAAAACGGAGGAAGUGGGAUGACGUCAAAUCAUCAUGCCCCUUAUGUUCUGGGCUACACACGUGCUACAAUGGCCGGUACGGACGGAGGCGAAGCCGCGAGGCGGAGCAAAUCCGAAAAAGCCGGUCUCAGUUCGGAUUGCAGGCUGCAAUUCGCCUGCAUGAAGUCGGAAUCGCUAGUAAUCGCAGGUCAGCAUACUGCGGUGAAUACGUUCCCGGGCCUU